GUUUUUUUUUUUUUUUUCUUCUUAUACGACAGUGAAUAUUUUUAAUUAGUUUAAUUUAUUAAAGACUUACACAUCAUAUAUACGUUUUUUUUUUUUUUUUUAAUCCUUGUCUAGUUACAGUUAACAUUAUGGGGUCCUGUCAUCGUAGCGGUUGUAAACGGUCGCUCCCUCGCUUGCUGUUUAGGUUAAUGAUAAUUGUUACAAAGCGCUGACACUGGAGACUCCUUCCAUAUCUGUUCCAGGAACACAUUUCUCCUCAGCGUAUCGACGUGUACACAUGUGGAGCGUACUCUACGCCGUACAAGUACCGAUGGACGAGCUGUUACUAUAGAAACCAAAACGUAUCAAUGUGAUACAAAUACAUAGGACUAUAUUCAAAAUAUUUUUGCUUUAUACAGUAUCGAAGCGAUUUUUUUAGAGUGUUGCAGUGACGGAAGCAAACGGCUAACGCCGCACAAACACACCAAGCUAACAAACGCUAACUCAGCUUCCUGAGCAGAGAGAGCUCUGCAUCACAGCCUCUCUCUCUCUCUCUCUCUCUCUCUCUCUCUCUCUCUCUCUCUCUCUGUACAUGGAUAUCUAUAUUUUUAACCUUAAAGCCGGGCCACUCUGUCUUCACCUCGCACGGUUAUAUUUAUCCCUCACGCCUCCGUCUCCGGUUUCCUUCGCCUAAGAGCAGGUGGAAGAUGGAGGAAGGGGUGAGGUGAGAGCAGAGCUCACUUCCUGUUGGGUCACACUGUCCCGGGACGCAGAGAGGAGAGGAGAGGAGAGGAGAGGAGAGGAGAAGAGAGGAGAGGAGAAGAGAGGAGAGAAGAAGAGAGGAGAGGAGAGGAGAGGAGAAGAGAGGAGAAGAGAGGAGAGGAGAAGAGAGGAGAAGAGAGGAGAGGAGAAGAGAGGAGAGGAGGAGAGAGGAGAAGAGAGGAGAAGAGAGGAGAAGAGAAGAGACGAGAGGAGGAGAGAGGAGAGGAGGAGAGAGGAGAGGAGGAGAGAGGAGAAGAGAGGAGAGGAGAGAAGAAGAGAGGAGAGGAGAGGAGGAGGGGAGAGGAGAGGAGGGGAGGAGAGGAGAGGAGGGGAGGAGAGGAGAGGAGG
ensembl:lncRNA